AGGAAGCACCGGCUAACUCUGUGCCAGCAGCCGCGGUAAUACAGAGGGUGCAAGCGUUGUUCGGAAUUACUGGGCGUAAAGCGCGCGCAGGCGGAUGGUUGCGUCCGGAGUGAAAUUUCGCCGCUCAACGGCGAAGCUGCUCUGGAUACGGACUGUCUGGGGACCGGUAGAGGCUGGUGGAAUUGCUGGUGUAGCGGUGGAAUGCGUAGAGAUCAGCAAGAACACCCGUGGCGAAGGCGGCCAGCUGGGCCGGAUCCGACGCUGAGGCGCGAAAGCGUGGGGAGCAA
rnacentral:rRNA from 1 species